rnacentral:lncRNA from 1 species
ACGGAAUAUCCCGAUGAUAUAUUCGUUAAAACCGAUAUAUAUAUUGAUGUGGUUAUCGAUAUUGUACAAUGAAAAGAAAUAGAAACCAAGAAUCACAGUACAGUUGAAUAAAUUGUUUAGCUUCUUUGAAAAAAACCGAGUGUCAUAAUAUUUCUCAAGUUAUUCAUCACUUUGAGUCUAGACAAUCUUUCAAUGAUUCAAACAGAC